GUGCCAGCCGCCGCGGUAAUACCGGCAGCACAAGUGAUGGCCUAUCUUAUUGGGCCUAAAGCGUCCGUAGCUGGCCGAGCAGGUCCGUCGGGAAAUCCACGUGCUCAACGCGUGGGCGUCCGGCGGAAACCACUCGGCUUGGGGCCGGAGGACUCGAGGGGUACGUCUGGGGUAGGAGUGAAAUCCCGUAAUCCCGCACGGACCACCGAUGGCGAAAGCACUUCGAGAAAACGGAUCCGACAGUGAGGGACGAAGGCCAGGGUCUCCAACCGGAUUAGAAACCCCAGUAGUCC
rnacentral:rRNA from 1 species